UGGGUUCGUUUCCCAUUUUGUUUUUAUUCAGAAACAAUAGCUAAAAUUAGAAAUUUCGUUCACUUUCGUUCAGAAUCUGGGACAUCAGCUGCCUGUUCUGUAACAACCAGUGAAAAAGACGACCGAUCUAAUCAUUAUCUUAGAGAUUAUGACUGUUUAAUAUCAUUACUUACUACAGCUUUCUAUGUGAGCUUUGAAAGAAUAAUUUGGACCUUAGAAGACGAGACAGUUUUGACAUCUGAGAAUAAACUGCAAUUAAUGCAUCAGUGAAAUUCCAAUGAAAUAUGCACAAUGACAUUGAAUAGAUAUUGUAUUUAGUAUUGAUUUAUUUAGAAAUUAUUUCUUUUAAAGCUCUCUAAAACAACAAGCCAAGCAAAUACAAAACAUGGGCAAACCAAAGAAUAAAAAAAAAAUUCUGAUUCGUGUGAAAUUAUAACGUGAAACAGCACGCUAAGCUCAGUGACGUCAAGACGCACACGUACGUACGACUGAGCGGAGACAGCCAGCCAAUCAGAGCUUCCCUCGCUCCGUGGUUUGACGUAUUGAGAACGUGCAACAUAGCAACGGUUUCUGGGCGCGCGCCUUGUGGAUGCGGAACUGAGAGCGCGCGUUUCCGAGGCAACGUAACUCAUCCCUGCGCUUUAUAUCACAAACCUGAGGGUUCAGUUAAAGAUGUGGCGCUUGUUUCGUGCUCUAAUCCUGCCCUGAGUACACUUUUACUCAAUAUCGGACAGCUCAUCUGUAUCAAAGGAUAAUCUUUCUCGACUCGUCUGGUGUGUGACUCAGAGCAAAGCAGCAGUGAGGUGAAAAGAUGUGAGCAGAGAUGUGGAGCGCGGCCUGAGAUGCUGAAAGUCAGGGCCGAAAACACAAAGCAGAUGCAAGAGUACAGAGUUUAGGAGGCAGAGAACGAGCCGAGAGUGGGAGUAGGAAUACGGGAUGAUGGAGGACUGAACUGAGAGCAGGUGAACACAGCUGUGGACCGCCGCCGGCUCUCUUCUUCCUCUCCUCCCUCUCUUCUUCCUCUCCUCAUGAGGCUCCGGCUCUGUGUCUCGGGGUCUCAAGGAGACAGCAGGGGCCGGCCAGGCUUCAACGGAGUGGGCAGCAGAGGCGGGCAGUUGCACCCACCGGGCACAGGCUCCUCAGCAGAGUAAUCAAUACGGGGGAAGAGGCUGCCAGGGGUCGGGCGACGCAGCCCCGGGCCAUGGUGCCAAGGGAUCACCAGCGCUCAUCUCUCCCUUUACCAGUCAACUUGCAUCAGCCAAAGGCGGACCAUGUGUGAGAGCAAGAGUGUGUGUGUGUGGUUCUGCCGGAGGGACCUUCAGUCCCAACACCACUUGAUAAAACUUUGUCUGCGGGAGAAUGAACAGAAAAAGAGUGUCAAAGGUCUUUUUCCCUCUCCUCAAUUCCUUUUUUACUGUGAGUGCACAUUCCCAGUGACUGUUUGAAUGAGGGCUUGACGUACAAUCCCUCUUACAGGCCCUCCUCCAAGCCUCUACAUCAGAUGAGCUGGCAAGAGAGGACAACUUGAACUUUUGUCUUUUUUGGACGACAUUUUUUUUGCCUUUCUGUUGUAGAUUAAAUUAGAUGAUUUUUUCAAAAUCCUCACCACUGUUUGAGAGCUUCUAAAAAGGCUUUGGUUUUAAUCCACAUGAAGAGGCUUGGCACUCUUGUCUACAUACUUCAGUACUGCUGGACCUCCACAGUACCAGGUUUUAAUAAGAUGACAUUCAGAGGGAGUGCAAAGUAGAGGAGGCUGAGCUCAAAAUCUAGGACCAAAAUUACCCAAUAAACUUUCCCAGAAUUUGUCACUCAUUGUUUUCAGCCAUUCCCUGGAAAGCUCCAUUUCCUUCCAUGAGACACAACGAACAUAGGUGAAUGGAAUGAUUAUGUUGCUAAAAGUAGUGCCAAGUCCCCAAGGAUUCUUUAAGGAAUGAAGUUUACUAGGAGAUGAUGGAGUCUAAUCCUCUGAAAUGGAGUUAUGAAUGCUGUUCAGAGCCACUCCCGGGAUGGUGUGUUUCAGAUCUGUAGCCCUGACCCACUGCAGGAUGAAAAUGAUAACAUCAGUGAUAUUUUACUGUCAGUGAUUGCUUACAGAAUUUUGCUUGUGCCCCUUUUAUACUGGUGAGUAUUUCAACAAGGUAAGUUUCUGAUCAUAAUUUAAACAGCAUAAAUAGAAAAGGCUGUGAUAUUGCAUACAUAUAAACUUCAAAUAGACCAUUUCAAAUGCUUUUUUUUAAUUGGCACCUACAAUGAAAGAAAUAAACCUUGGACUGCAGCUGGUUUCCCAGCUAAAAAAAUUACUUCUUUUCUAUGUUCUAAUUUUUUUUUUCAGUUGCAACAAAUUGACAAGUAGGUUUGAUUUUUUUCCCCCCAUUAGUAUGUUUUUUUUUAUCGUGUCUAACCUGUAUGAUGUAUAGCAUACUAGGGAAAUCUGAAAUAUUUGUACAGUUAAUAGAGUACUACACAGGUACAGAUGAUGAUAUUAUUUGCAGACCUAUUUGCAUUUUUAAGAGCAGACAUACAAGACGAAAAAGCAAAACCUGCUUGUACAAAGUGUGAUAUCCUUAUCGCCAUACAUUAAUUAUAGCAUAAUCUCUGAUAUUUGUUGAAGUUGUGUUUACAGUAUGAAUAUUGUAGUAAUAAAUUAAUUAUGCAGAAUGAAUUAACAAUAAAAGUGAAACCUGAAUUUAUUCUGUGUUGCGUGUUUUUUUUAACUUAUGGUUGUUCAAUACGGUAUAAAAUGUGUCUCAUUAUUAGUGACAGGGAAACACAAAUAAAUGUUUAUUUCCAUGGGUAAACAAAUGAAUAUAUUUUGCCUAAUGAAUGAUUUUUUUUGCACUUCGCAGUGUAACGAAGCAGUGUAACGUGCUAAUGUUUGUGUGUCUGUGUCUGCAUAAAAUUAUACGCUCAUUAAUAUUCAAAUGUGUUCAAAUAUUAAAUUAUGUUAUUAAGAUUUAAAUACAUUUUUUGAGGAAUUUCAAAAGCCUGGUCUAUAAUGUUUUAUUUUAUGUGAAAUGUUUUGUGCUGUUUGAUUUUUUUUCUGUAAAAAAAUAUUUAUGCAUAAACCUAAGUAGGUCUAAUGAGGUUUUGUGUAUAGAUGAAUCAUAUAAGAGGAAAUCAUAAUGCGUUGAAGAAUUGAUGUAUACCAAGUGUAAUGUAUGUUAAAUAAAGUGUUCUCAAGCUG